rnacentral:lncRNA from 1 species
CCCACCUGGCUUCCCAGGGGAACCUCUGCCACAUCCUCAAAGAUGAGGAAGCCCACCUUUUGAAGAUCCCUGAGAGCUGCCCAGGUUGAUAUGACUGGAACCGUGGGCCCAUGGUGAAAGCAAAGAGUGGGUGCAGCAUCUUCAGGUCUCCCCACCCUUUCAUAUCUCAAGGCCCAGCGUUCCUGACCAGAAGCCUUCUCUGGAUAAAGUGUCUGUUGCAAUAGCAGCUGAUGAGCUGGAGCCAAGUCUUAAGGCCCAGAAUAUGCACAUUGAGCUGUGCACAUGCCAUGCUUUCCUGGAGACUUCCAGAAACAGUGAGAGAAAGAAAUUUCGAAUAAAUGGGUGUUCUCCCCAACGAAGCAGCCGAGUGCAGGACCUUGAGUUUUAAGUCUGUUCCCUUCACG